rnacentral:rRNA from 1 species
CCCUUAGAUGUCCUGGGCCGCACGCGCGCUACACUGAUGCAUGCAACGAGUUUAUAACCUUGGCCUGAAAGGUCUGGGUAAUCUUUUGAACGUGCAUCGUGAUAGGGAUAGAUUAUUGCAAUUGUUAAUCUUGAACGAGGAAUUCCUAGUAAACGCGAGUCAUCAGCUCGCAUUGAUUACGUCCCUGCCCUUUGUACACACCGCCCGUCGCACCUACCGAUUGAAUGGUUCGGUGAAGAUCUCGGACUUCGAUAUUUAUUCUUUGUUGAGUUUAUAUUGUGGGAAGUUAUCUAAACCUCAUCAUUUAGAGGAAGGUGAAGUCGUAACA